UGGAGAUGAAGUGCAAAGAAAUAAAGUGA
rnacentral:piRNA from 1 species